CCCCCCCCCCCCCCUCUCUCUCAUUUACUGUGGUAGCCCCAUCGCAUCUUAAAUAGAACCCAACUGCCACUCUCCAGCCAGCUCCCAAUCUGUUCCUGAUGAGGUCUCACUCUUUUAUGCCUCCCCCUUCGUUGUCUCUUGAUUUUGAGCGAGAUGAGAUUUUGUGGAAUUUCUAUGGUGAAGGUGUUACCAGCUUUCAUGUGGGUUUAACAAAGGGUUUCCUACAGAGUUUUUUGGCAUUCUGUCCACCUCCAAUCGGAAAGAAAAAGCAAGCCAAUAACAAUUAAGAACACUCUCCUAUGGAGGUGGGCAUACUGCCAACUGAACUCUGUUGGUCUCUCUCUGUAAAACCCUCGUGAUGUAUGAAUAUGAUCUCCAUGGCCCAAACACGCUAACCAUGUUUUCCUUGUUUGUUCUUUCGCGUGGAGAUCGAACUCAGUCAGUUACCCAAGGAGUAAAGACCCAGCCGCGUUUCCCUUUUCAUUCAUAUAUAUCAUUCCGGUUAUCUUGUAUUCAGAUCCAUCCUUGAAUAAUUCGUUGUGGAUGAUGUUGAUGGCAUUGCAAGCCUUUUUCUUUGUGCUCUGCGGUUGCAGGUUUCUGGUGGUGAAUUGAGACCAUUUCUAAGUUGGGCAAGUGAGGGAAGCUGCUGGAGUGUAACGCGUGUUGUCAUAUAAGAAGUGGGCUUUUGCUUGACUUCAAACUGGGAAUUGAACUGACCUUUUAUCUUUAAGAUGUAUACUUUAUAUACGAAGAAUAAGGAGGCAGUUUGUUGGGCUUCUUUGAAACAAUGAAUCUCUUUAAAUGUAAGGGAUCGAGAGUCUGCAGUAGCUAGCAUUUACCACACACAAGUCAACUCGGCUUUGAGCCCAAAUGCAAUAGGGAAUUGUCAUAUAUAGUUGUUAGUGCAAUGUGAGCCCUUUCACUUCGCCAUGACUUUUGACACUGCGAUGCGUCGUGCGCAUGGUGGUUUCCUGGUAACCCCAUUAACGAGCACUAUGUGAAGAUGAGAAAGAAAGAAAGGAAUAAAAUGGAUCGAGUUGUAUGCAUCAAUCAGUAGUUCUAAUUCGGUUCGGUUGUAACUUUUUCUUUUCUAUGAGAGGCUAAAUUUGCUUCGUGAA